AAAGAACUUAAGGCAGCCUUGUUACUGGCACGUACGCAUGUACGCGUAAAGAAAGAAGGCCUAGUUUCUAGCUAAAAGGAAAAUUUAACAUCCUGCUAUCUACAACCAUCUUUACCAUACAAUGCAUCAUUUAAACAAAAUAUCUCUCAAAUUUUAAACAAAUGAUAAGUAUAAUUUGAACAUGAGAUCAGAUUUCAAGAAAUACAAGGUAUCAUAGAAAUCAAAUAUACAAGAAACCAUAAAAAUAUGUUAAAGUGAUAGAGACCGAACCAAAGUGAGAUGCAGAACGGUGUGGAACAGAAGGCAGCGGUGGUGUAAAAGCUCAGGAUGGAUGGUAUUCGGCGGUUAACGUUGAUUGAAACUACGGUUAUGUCUGUUACUUUUUCUAUUUUUUCCUCUUCUUUUCUCUCAAAUGAAUUUCUAUCCUUUUUUUUUUCUUUGUAUGAUUUUUCUGUCUCAAUUUAUAGAUAAAAUAGUGAAUGUUUCCGUUUAUUAGAUAAAUUCGAGCUCUAGAUCGUGUACUUUUUUGCGGCAAAUUUUAACUGGAUUUUACAUUGUUUUAGUAACAAAUCUUAAAGAAAGAAUUUUUUCUACCUUGCACAAAUGUUAAAAGAAAUUUCUAUUGGUCGUAGCAUGCUUAUAAAAGGGAUGUUGAUGAAAGAUAAAGAAAAUAAAAGAAUGCAUAGUGAGAGUGAAACAAUAUACCAACAAAAUGAAGAUGUGUGUUGGUUUUUGGCAGGAAGUUGUGUUGUGUCUGCGAAGAAGGAGGAAGCCUAAGUUGAGGAAGAAGGUUUGUCGGUUGUGUUGACAGGAUUGAUGUGUUGGUUGUUGGCAAAGAAAGACAGACUGUAAUGUAUUUGUGUGUUGUCAGAACAAAGAAAGAAAGAAAAAAAAAAAAAACUAGAGUUGUGUUGUUGCAAUUCAAAUUUCUUAUUUUUUGUUUUAUAUUAUUUUAAAUUUGGUAUAUAUUUAAAUUUGAAUUGUAAAAUACUAAAUUUGUAAAUUUCUGAUAAUAACUGCA
rnacentral:lncRNA from 1 species